rnacentral:rRNA from 1 species
AACGUAGGACACAAGCGUUAUCCGGAGUUACUGGGCGUAAAGGGCGUGUAGGCGGAUCGGUAAGUCUACUCUGAAAGCUCCUGGCUAAACUGGGAGAGGCGAGUGGAGACUGUCGGUCUAGAGUGAGGAAGAGGAAAGUGGAAUUCCGCGUGUAGUGGUGAAAUGCGUAGAGAUGCGGAGGAACACCAGUGGCGAAAGCGGCUUUCUGGUCCUUAACUGACGGCUG